rnacentral:rRNA from 1 species
CCUACGGGAGGCAGCAGUGGGGAAUAUUGGACAAUGGGCGAAAGCCUGAUCCAGCCAUGCCGCGUGUGUGAAGAAGGCCUUCGGGUUGUAAAGCACUUUCAGUGGGGAAGAAAGCCUUGGGGCUAAUACCCUCGAGGAAGGACAUCACCCACAGAAGAAGCACCGGCUAACUCCGUGCCAGCAGCCGCGGUAAUACGGAGGGUGCGAGCGUUAAUCGGAAUUACUGGGCGUAAAGCGCGCGUAGGCGGUCUGAUAAGCCGGUUGUGAAAGCCCCGGGCUCAACCUGGGAACGGCAUCCGGAACUGUCAGGCUAGAGUGUAGGAGAGGAAGGUAGAAUUCCCGGUGUAGCGGUGAAAUGCGUAGAGAUCGGGAGGAAUACCAGUGGCGAAGGCGGCCUUCUGGACUGACACUGACGCUGAGGUGCGAAAGCGUGGGUAGCAAACAGGAUUAGAUACCCCGGAAGUC